rnacentral:misc_RNA from 1 species
CCUAACCAAACCAAUCACAAUUGCAAGCGAUGUCUCGGUAUUGGAAUUGAAAAUUUUCUGCUACAGUUUAUUCUCUCUAUUCAUUUUUCUUUUAGAAAAAUUAUUCGGUGGAUAUGUCGGUGGUGCCGGGGAAAUCGUCGUAUAGGGAUCGGACGCAAGAGUUUUUGAGCGUAGCGGAGAGGCUAAAGAAGUCAUUCUCGUCGGCGAACAAUGCAGCGGCAUCUAGCAGUAGUAACAACAGUGCGAAGUCCGACGCGACGCGAUCUGUGGUGGCGAUUCAAUCGGAGUUCAAUAAACGAGCGUCGAAGAUAGGAUUUGGGAUCCAUCAGACCUCGCAGAAGCUCGCGAAACUUGCCAAAUUGGCAAAGAGGACAUCCGUGUUUGAUGAUCCAACUACGGAGAUCCAAGAACUUACUGCAGUUAUAAAGCAAGAUAUUACCGCGCUUAAUGCAGCUGUCGUAGACCUCCAAUUCCUUUGCAAUUCCCAGAAUGAAAGUGGAAACAUCUCAAGUGACACCACAACUCAUUCAACCACUGUUGUUGAUAACUUGAGAUGCCGGCUGAUGAGCGCUACAAAAGAGUUUAAAGAAGUCCUUACAAUGAGGACAGAGAAUCUAAAGGUUCAUGAGAACAGAAGGCAAUUGUUUUCUUCAACUGCUUCGAAAGAUUCUACAAAUCCCUUUGUCCGACAGCGUCCACUGGCUUCCAGAUCUACUGCUAAUGCAUCUCCAUCUCCUCCUCCGUGGGUCAGUGGUUCUACUUCUUCAUCUCAGUUAUUUCCGAGCAAGCAAACAGGUGUUGAGUCGCAGCCACUUUUGCAGCAGCAGCAGCAUCAACAGCAAGAGCUGAUGGUUCCACUGCAAGACAGUUACAUGCAGAGUAGAGCUGAGGCUUUGCACAAUGUGGAGUCGACAAUUCAUGAG